CCCAAACUGAGCCAGGAUUUCAGAGCCUUUUGGCCCCAAACUGAGCCAGGAUUUCAGAGCCUUUUAGUGCUGAACCCAAACUGAGCCAGGAUUUCAGAGCCUUUUGGCCCCAAACUGAGCCAGGAUUUCAGAGCCUUUUGGCCCUGAACCUAAACUGAGCCAGGAUUUCAGAGCCUUUUAGCCCUAAACUCAAACUGAGUCAGGAUUUCAGAGCCUUUGGCCCCAAACCCUGAGGGGAGCCAGGAUUUCAGAGCCUUUUAGCCCUGAACCUAAACUGAGCCAGGAUUUCAGAGCCUUUUGGCCCCAAACCCAAACUGAGCCAGGAUUUCAGAGCCUUUUAGCCCCAAACUCAAACUGAGCCAGGAUUUCAGAGCCUUUUAGCCCCAAACUGAGCCAGGAUUUCAGAGUAUUUGGCCCCAAACUGAGCCAGGAUUUCAGAGCCUUUUGGCCCCAAGCCCCGAGGGGAGGCAGAAUUUCCUAAACCCCCGUUGAUCCCCAAAGGCAGUGGUGUUUCCCAGGGCUCUGGUGAUUUCCCCAGGUGGUUCUCCAUAGCUCUGGGGGUUCUCCAUGGCUCAGGUGAUUUUCCCAGGACUCUCCGUGGCUCAGGGGGUUCUGCAUGGCUCAGGGAACUUUUCCAGAGGGUUCUUCACAGUUCAGGAAGUUCUCCCAUGGCUCAGGUGAUUUUCCAAGGGGGCUCUCCACAGUUCAGGGGGUUCUCAUGGCUCAGGGGUUCCUCAGGGCUCAGGUAAUUUUUCCAGAGCUCAGGUGAUUAUCCCAGGUGGUUCUCCAAGGCUCAGGGAGGUUCUCCAUGGCUCAGGGGUUCUCCCAGAGCUCAGGUGAUUUUCCCAGGGCUCUCCAUGGCUCAGGGUGCUCUCUGUGGCUCAGGUGAUUAUCCCAGAUGGUUCUCCAUGGUUCAGGGGGUUCUCCAUGGUUCAGGGGGCUCUCCAUGGAUCAGGGGACUUUUCCAGGGGGCUCUCCAUGGUUCAGGGGGCUCUCCAUGGCUCAGAGGGUUCUCCAUGGCUCAGGUGAUUUUCCCAGGGCUCUCCAUGGUUCAGGGGGCUCUCCAUGGCUCAGGGAGUUUGCCAUGGCUCAGGGGGUUCUCCCAAGGGCUCCCAGGUGGUUCUCCAUAGCUCAGAGGGUUCUCCAUGGCUCAGGUGAUUAUCCCAGGUGGUUCUCCAUGGCUCAGGUGAUUAUCCCAGGGCUCUCCAUGUCCCAGGGGGGGUUCCCAGGCUCCCUGACCCCCCGUUCCCACGUGUCCCCGGCAGGAGAGAAGCCGUUCAUCUGCGAGAUCUGCGGCAAGAGCUUCACGAGCCG
rnacentral:lncRNA from 1 species